CGCAGCUGAUCUUAUGCCGGUGUGUGAAGAAGCUGCGGGUUGUAAGCACUUAAGGUGGAAAGAAGGCCUGAGGGCGAAUACCCCUUGGGAUUGACGUUACCACCAGAAAUAGAGCGACCGNNGCUAACUACCGUAGCCAGACAGCCGCGGUAAUACGGAGGGUGCAAGCGUUAAUCGGAAUUACUGGGCGUAAAGCGCGCGUAGGCGGUUCACUCAGUCUGCUGUGAAAGCCCCGGGCUUAACCUGGGAACGGCAGUGGAUACUGCUGGGCUAGAGUAUGGUAGAGGGGAGUGGAAUUUCCGGUGUAGCAGUGAAAUGCGUAGAGAUCGGAAGGAACACCAGUGGCGAAGGCGGCUCUCUGGACCAAUACUGACGCUGAGGUGCGAAAGCGUGGGGAGCAACCAGGAUUAGAUACCCUGGUAGUCCACGCCCUAAACGAUGAGAACUAGCCGUUCGGCUCUUCGGAGCUGAGUGGCGCAGCUACCGCGCUA
rnacentral:rRNA from 1 species